GUUACAAAACACAAGUGUUUUCUUAUGAGUGCAACACACUUGUGGCAAACAUCUCAACAUUUUACUCAGGACUGAGAAUGGCAGCAACAUCAGUAAUAAUUUUAGAUACACAAGAAACUCUAAAAUGGAGGAGACAUGUACUGACCCAAGCUCUUCUAAGUAAUCAAAACCAUUUAGGAGUCUAAAAUCAGGACCCAAAUGAUGCAGACAAGACCAGGACAGAAAAUCACCAAGAGACCCUUCAAGAACAGCUGUGGAGCACAGAGUUUUAAGAUGACGAUCUGGAGAUAGACUGCUAGUUGCACCAUCUGUGGAUUUUAUGGUCACAAGUAAAUUCAGUUUGUGCAGUAACAC